CGAGGAACCAGACUUAGAAUCGCAGGAGAUGGAGCAUAUUCAGCAAGUUUAGGCCAAAUGCAAAUCUGGAGUUUUGAAUCAGUAAUUAAAUGAACAAUAAUGUUUUGAAGAAGUUUCUGUUAUUUGCCUAUUUUGUAUUACAUUUCUGUUAGCAUAUAGCCAAUGUAAUCCUGGCAAAAAAACGUGUUGCAGAUUUUCAAAUUUUUUAUUUUUAUUUUUUUGUCUCUAUCAAGAGAGAAACUUGGGUGGGGCGUGGUGGUGCGACCGUCCAACCCCAAGGUGCCACCUCUGCGGAUGAACCACACACCUCAGGGGUGUGUGGUGGCCCACCCGUCGAGGUGGCGCACAUUGAUAGGACGGUCGCACCACGUGAUGUCAAUUUAUAUUGGUACUACAAUUUUUAUUCGUUUCACUACAUUUUAAUUGUACUUCGCGUUAUAACAAUCAUUUUUUUAAUUUUUUUGUCAAAUUCUUGUCUUCAAUUUUUCAUUAAUUAAUACAUCAUGUCAUUAAUGAUGAUUUACCACAAAUAUUUUUUUGGACGACUUUUGCGGCGAUUUUCAGAUCGAAUCUCUUGAAGUUCUGAGGAGAUUUUGGGUGUAAUUGAAGAGGACAUUGUGAACUUUCCAACAUUAUCAAAAUUCCACGAUAUCAACGGUCGAAAGUGGCCGAAAAGUUACCGCAAAAGCAGCCCAAAAAAUUGAAAAUGUCGUUUUAAACUUCAGUGAUCGUUUCUGCAAAUUUUUAAACUUCAAUGACCAUUUUUGAAAGUUUUUAAAUUUCAGUGACCAUUUUUGAAAGCGCCCCGAAACUUAAGUGACCGUUACUGAAAGUAUUAAACUUCAGUGACCAUUUUGUAAUUUUCGCAUAAGUUCAGUAACCGUUUUUGAAAUUAAUCCGAAAAGGUUUGCAUGUAGAGUUUCAUGUUUCUUAAAAAGUACAAAUGAAUCUCACGUAAAACAAUUUAAAAAAUUCUAAUAAAAGAAAUAUAUUUUAUCUUCUCAAUUAACCCACCUACUCCUACACCCAUCCCCUACAUUCCACCACCACUACAAAAUUAAUCAAAGAGAUAAUUAAAAG
rnacentral:lncRNA from 1 species